rnacentral:rRNA from 1 species
CCGUUCUCAGUUCGGAUCGGAGUCUGCAACCCGACUCCGUGAAGCUGGAUUCGCUAGUAAUCGCGCAUCAGCCAUGGCGCGGUGAAUACGUUCCCGGGCCUUGUACACACCGCCCGUCAAGCCAUGGAAGCCGGGGGCGCUUGAAGUGCGUUGCCGCAAGGCGCGCCCUAGAGCGAAACCGGUGACUGGGGCUAAGUCGUAACAAGGUAAC